rnacentral:pre_miRNA from 1 species
UAUUAGGUUGCUGCAAAAGUAAUUGUGGGUUUUGCCAUUGAAAGUAAUAGCAACACCUGCAAUUACUUUUGCAGCAACCUAAUA